CUCAAGCAUACAUUUAACGUAUUUCUAAAAAGAGCACUAGAGGUACGCUGGGAAAAAAUAUAUGUUUAAUUACACAUUUUAAAAAAAAGUAUGUUAAACACAAGCAUACUUUUACAGAGGUUUUAGUGUAUUUAGAAAAAAACAUAUAUUUUUUUAAACAUGUACAUUAAUUUUAAUAGGCUAACAUUGCAAUUUCAACAUCAUAUCAUUGAACUUGCAUUAUAUAUUGAUUUCACAAAGUUAGUCCACAUAAAUUUGUUAGUGUUUAUAUUCAAACAACACACGUGACGGACCUGACUAAACCUCAUUGGUUCUUGGGAUUCAGUACGUCACAUUGGCUUCCUGAUUCAGUUGUUCGAUACACAACGUGCGUGAUCGUUGGUAAAUGUGGAUUAAAAGUUGAAACUAAAACUGUUAAAUAUAGUGAUCAUCAGAGGACUUGGCUGAAACAACGCGAUUCACAUGGAUUACUUCGGCGAUGUUUUUUAUUGCUGUUGCGAUUAACUUUUUGAAAUGUGAGCAGUUUUUAAGUAGGUUAUCAAGUGGAUCUGACAUCGAGGGGAAAUAUACGUUUCUUGGAUUUCAUUAAAGUACAUCGGUUUUUGUUUGAAGAUGAAUGAGAGAACAUAAGGGUAAGUUAAGUGAUGACAGAUUUUUGCUUUUUAUUUUUAGUGAACUAUUAAAUAAGUAGAACUUUUAGUAUUACAGUAUGUCUUAAUUUUAACCCAGCUUCUUAAAGCGUGUAUGUUGUGUGGCUUUUGGAACAUAACGUUAAAUUUUUUUUGUGAGUAAAGUUAGGCAUUUCAUUUCUCUUGUUGUAUUUCAGAAAUCAUAACAGCCUGUCUUUUUUUUAGCACAGCGGCAUUCAAAUUGACCAAUCAGAGCCGAGAAUAUCUAAUAAGUCGAAGUAGAGAUGAACAGAUGAAGAUACAGCCCGUAAAAAUACUUAUUCUUGGUGAGUGCCAUGUAGCGACGGAUCAAACGGACACUCAUGUCAAGCUUGAUGAGGACACAGUCAAAGCUUUAAAAGACCUUGUGAUUAAGUCUUCAGUGUCUGAAUGGCAAGAAGAAGUGACCCUCCACUUAAACGUGACAUUUAAACUGCUCUGUGUUUUGGUUCAGCCAUUUGUAGGUUUAUCUCGAGUAAGUUCAAAUGCACUUCUGCAUUUGUCCAGUAACUUUUUGUUUAGAGAAUUACAUCAUUAUGAUUAUAUAAUUAUUCAAUGGUUGCAUAUUCAUAGUGUACUUUUCAUAUUGAUGUAUUAAUGUUCCACAAUUUGAUAAAAGUAGCUCAUUGCAUUUCACUGAUCUUUGUUUUAUAUUGUAAAAUCAUUUCAAUAGCAGUGAAUACAUACUUAGUUGUUUCUUUAACAUUUAAUUAGUUGUUAAUGAUGGAAGAAACCGGUUCGUAUGUAUGAAUACAGAAUAGGUAUCAUUUUAGAAUGAGUUAAAACAUGUUUUGGUGGCAAACAUGCAGGUAAAAUAGUACAUGUAUAACAUUCUAAUAGUAAACUUGACUGUAAUUCAAAUGUCACAUACAGUACAUUAGAAAUGAUUUAUUUUAUGGAUACAAAUGUGUGGGCAAUAUAUUAUUAUUUCAUUUUGUAUGCUAUUUUAUUUAUGUAAUAUUAUUAUAUCUGAAAUUAUUAAAUUACAUUUAUAAAUGUUUAAAAGGUGGGUUCAAAUGUGCUUCAAGUUGUAACUGAAUACAAUUUUAGAAAAUAGCACAGUUGAGUACACUUAGAUUGUCUUAAGUUUGUCUUAACAAGUACUAAAUACUACUUUUUAGUAUAUUAAGCACAAUUUACUGCACGAAAAUAAAGAGCUUUUGGUACCUUAAGGUUGUGAACUUAAAGUGUAUUUUAGUGAACUUUUUCACUUGGGAAUACAUUUGGUAUAUUAUUUUAACAUACUACUAGUAUAUUUUAAAGUAGAUUCGUAAAUGUUUAAAGGUGGGUUCAAGUUGUAAUUAAAGAUAUUUUUUAAAUACAGACCUAGUAUGUUAAAAUUACAUUUUAGUUCAACUUCAUGGUGUCUCAAAAAAGCACAGUUGAGUACACUAAGAUGGUUUUAAGUUCAUCUUAAAAAGUACUUAAUACUACUUUUUAGUAUACUAAGUUCAAAAUUAGUGUGUGAAAAUAGAGCACUUUUAGUAUAAUGUGGAAAGUGUACUUAAAUAGUGUAUUUUAGUGAACUUGUUUCACCUGGGAAUACAUUUGGAAUAUUAUUUUAACAUACCAUUAGUAUACUUUAAAGUAUAUUUAAAAAUGCUUAAA